CUUGGUAGGUUAGUUGGUAAAGUACUAGUCUAGCAUACAAGAGCCGUGGGUUCGAAUCCCGCCUGAG
rnacentral:tRNA from 1 species